rnacentral:rRNA from 1 species
AACGAACGCUGGCGGCAGGCUUAACACAUGCAAGUCGAACGCCCCGCAAGGGGAGUGGCAGACGGGUGAGUAACGCGUGGGAAUCUACCGUACCCUACGGAAUAACGCAUGGAAACGUGUGCUAAUACCGUAUACGCCCUUAGGGGGAAAGAUUUAUCGGGGUACGAUGAGCCCGCGUUGGAUUAGCUAGUUGGUGGGGU